CGGACGGGUGAGUAACACGUGAGUAACCUGCCUUACACAAGGGGAUAGCCGUUGGAAACGACGAAUAAUACCCAAUGAAACUAUCACUUCGCAUGAAGCGAUAGUCAAAGUGUUAGCGGUGUAAGAUGGACUUGCGUCUGAUUAGCUAGUUGGUGAGAAAAAAGCCCACCAAGGCAACGAUCAGUAGCCGGCUUGAGAGAGUGUACGGCCACAUUGGGACUGAGACACGGCCCAG
rnacentral:rRNA from 1 species